UGCGAGUGAAGCGGGAAAAGCUCAAAUUUGAAAUCUGGCAGUCUUUUUGGCUGUCCGAAUUGUAAUCUAGAGAAGUGCUUACCUGCACUGGACCAUGUAUAAGUCUCCUGGAAUGGAGCGUCGCAGAGGGUGAGAAUCCCGUCUUUGACAUGGACUGCCAGUGUGUUGUGGUGUGCUCUCAAAUAGUCGAGUUGUUUGGGAAUGCAGCUCUAAAUGGGUGGUAAACUCCAUCUAAAGCUAAAUAUUGCCGAGAGACCGAUAGUGAACAAGUACCGUGAGGGAAAGAUGAAAAGGACUUUGGAAAGAGAGUUAAACAGUAUGUGAAAUUGUUGAAAGGGAAACGCUUGAAGUCAGUUAUGUUGGCUAGGGAUCAACCUAGCUACUUUUGCUGGGUGAAUUUCCUAGUCUUACAGGCCAACAUCUGUCUUGACUGCUGGAAAAGAGCAGAGGGAAUGUGGCACCUUCGGGUGUGUUAUAGCCCUUCGUCAUAUGUGGCAGUCGGGACUGAGGGAUGCAGCAUGCCGCGAGGCUGGGUUUCUGACCACGUUCAUGCUUAGGAUGUUGGCUUUUAAUGGCUUCAAUCGACCCGUCUUGAAACACGGACCAAGGAGUCUAACAUGCCUGCGAGUGUUUGGGUGGGGAAUACCCUUGUGCACAAUGAAAGUGAAAGUUGAGAUCCCUGUCAUGGGGAGCAUCGACGCCCGGACUUGAGCUUUUAGCGACAGAUCCGCGGUAGAGCAUGCAUGUUGGGACCCGAAAGAUGGUGAACUAUGCCUGAAUAGGGCAAAGCCAGAGGAAACUCUGGUGGAGGCUCGUAGCGAUUCUGACGUGCAAAUCGA
rnacentral:rRNA from 1 species